UGGUUUAGGUGCGGGUGAGACCUAGGGUUUUAGAUGUGCUUGGUGUCUUGGACCCAAUAUAGAUAUAUAAAAGGUUGGACCCUUUUACUUCAUGUACCAGAUGGGCACUAGCAUGUGAAGUUAGGUAUAUAUAUGAUCCCUAACCUGGCUCAUCUCAAGACCCGAACCGUGCCCGGCACCCCUAAUGACGGGUUGGAUUUUAUACCUAUUCCCACUCCCAGACCCAUUGGGUGCGAAACCCACGAUUUCAUCCCUAGUAAAGGCUAACAACACUAAAUGAUUAGAAGUGACCACCAAACCAGAACAAAGGAUAAGUUAAAUUUUUGUAAUAAGCAAGUCUUAACUAUACUAUAAAAGGUUUUACUCCCACCAUCCUACAUAAAUUACAUCUUACAUGACUCUACCACCGAAUUCAUGGUGAUUUAAUAAUUUGCCCAGGUCAGAUCCCACCAAAGAUGUAAGAGAUGUGAGUUCUUGUCAUCAUCAUAAUAUAUAGCUCACACUGAAGAUUAGAAGUAACCACAAACCAGAAUAGAUGAUAAAUUUACUUGUACUGAUAGACUUCUUCGCAAUUAUACGGGGAAUUCAAUCACCAAUUAUUUGUCAAAAACAUAUUUUAAACUGAAAUUUGUAUAAUAGAUAUGUCAAAAACAUUUAUAAAAAUGAUGAACAAAAGGAUAAUGAUUUCCAUAGGAUGGUUAUUUGAGGACAGGCCUGUAAAAAUACUUUUAGAUAUGGGCUAUGAAAAUAAUUGCACACGUGGGCCUUUUGUGCUCUGCCCAAAUACCUCGCCAACCUCCCCAAACCCUUGUCUCAAAUCAUGCAAUCGGUCAUACCACCAUCACUCAUCCAACACGUUGUGCCCUAUCCUUAACCCGCAUCUUGUGGCCUGGCCAUCUUGAACUGUCGUCGUCACAGUUG
rnacentral:lncRNA from 1 species